ACCAGACUCCUACGGGAGGCAGCAGUGAGGGAUAUUGGUCAAUGGGGGAAACCCUGAACCAGCAACGCCGCGUGAGGGAAGACGGUUUUCGGAUUGUAAACCUCUGUCCUCUGUGAAGAUAAUGACGGUAGCAGAGGAGGAAGCUCCGGCUAACUACGUGCCAGCAGCCGCGGUCAUACGUAGGGGGCAAGCGUUAUCCGGAAUUACUGGGUGUAAAGGGAGCGCAGACGGCAGUGCAAGUCUGGAGUGAAAGCCCGGGGCUUAACUACGGGACUGCUCUGGAAACUGUGCAGCUAGAGUGCAGGAGAGGCAGGCGGAAUUCCUGGUGUAGCGGUGAAAUGCGUAGAUAUUAGGAGGAACACCGGUGGUGAAGGCGGCCUGCUGGACUGUAACUGACGUUGAGGCUCGAAAGCGUGGGGAGCAAACAGGAUUAGAUACCCCAGUA
rnacentral:rRNA from 1 species